AGAGUUUGAUCAUGGCUCAGAUUGAACGCUGGCGGCAGGCCUAACACAUGCAAGUCGAACGGUAACAGGAAGCAGCUUGCUGCUUCGCUGACGAGUGGCGGACGGGUGAGUAAUGUCUGGGAAACUGCCUGAUGGAGGGGGAUAACUACUGGAAACGGUAGCUAAUACCGCAUAACGUCGCAAGACCAAAGAGGGGGACCUUCGGGCCUCUUGCCAUCGGAUGUGCCCAGAUGGGAUUAGCUUGUUGGUGGGGUAACGGCUCACCAAGGCGACGAUCCCUAGCUGGUCUGAGAGGAUGACCAGCCACACUGGAACUGAGACACGGUCCAGACUCCUACGGGAGGCAGCAGUGGGGAAUAUUGCACAAUGGGCGCAAGCCUGAUGCAGCCAUGCCGCGUGUAUGAAGAAGGCCUUCGGGUUGUAAAGUACUUUCAGCGGGGAGGAAGGGAGUAAAGUUAAUACCUUUGCUCAUUGACGUUACCCGCAGAAGAAGCACCGGCUAACUCCGUGCCAGCAGCCGCGGUAAUACGGAGGGUGCAAGCGUUAAUCGGAAUUACUGGGCGUAAAGCGCACGCAGGCGGUUUGUUAAGUCAGAUGUGAAAUCCCCGGGCUCAACCUGGGAACUGCAUCUGAUACUGGCAAGCUUGAGUCUCGUAGAGGGGGGUAGAAUUCCAGGUGUAGCGGUGAAAUGCGUAGAGAUCUGGAGGAAUACCAGUGGCGAAGGCGGCCCCCUGGACGAAGACUGACGCUCAGGUGCGAAAGCGUGGGGAGCAAACAGGAUUAGAUACCCUGGUAGUCCACGCCGUAAACGAUGUCGACUUGGAGGUUGUGCCCUUGAGGCGUGGCUUCCGGAGCUAACGCGUUAAGUCGACCGCCUGGGGAGUACGGCCGCAAGGUUAAAACUCAAAUGAAUUGACGGGGGCCCGCACAAGCGGUGGAGCAUGUGGUUUAAUUCGAUGCAACGCGAAGAACCUUACCUGGUCUUGACAUCCACGGAAGUUUUCAGAGAUGAGAAUGUGCCUUCGGGAACCGUGAGACAGGUGCUGCAUGGCUGUCGUCAGCUCGUGUUGUGAAAUGUUGGGUUAAGUCCCGCAACGAGCGCAACCCUUAUCCUUUGUUGCCAGCGGUCCGGCCGGGAACUCAAAGGAGACUGCCAGUGAUAAACUGGAGGAAGGUGGGGAUGACGUCAAGUCAUCAUGGCCCUUACGACCAGGGCUACACACGUGCUACAAUGGCGCAUACAAAGAGAAGCGACCUCGCGAGAGCAAGCGGACCUCAUAAAGUGCGUCGUAGUCCGGAUUGGAGUCUGCAACUCGACUCCAUGAAGUCGGAAUCGCUAGUAAUCGUGGAUCAGAAUGCCACGGUGAAUACGUUCCCGGGCCUUGUACACACCGCCCGUCACACCAUGGGAGUGGGUUGCAAAAGAAGUAGGUAGCUUAACCUUCGGGAGGGCGCUUACCACUUUGUGAUUCAUGACUGGGGUGAAGUCGUAACAAGGUAACCGUAGGGGAACCUGCGGUUGGAUCACCU
rnacentral:rRNA from 1 species